rnacentral:rRNA from 1 species
CUUCCGUAGGUGAACCUGCGGAAGGAUCAUUAUCUU